rnacentral:lncRNA from 1 species
GUUGAGGAAGUUGUCUCCUAUACCAAGGGGUUCAAGGCUAUUUGCCCCUUUCUGUUAUAGUAGGUUUAGAGUAUCUGGCUUUCCAUUAAGGUCAUUGAUCCAUUUACUUGAGUUUUUUUGAAGAGUGAUAGAUAUGGAUCUAUUUGUAUUCUACAUGCAGAAAUCCGGUUAGACCAGCACGAUUUGUUGAAGAUACUUUCUUUAUUCCAUUGUAUGGUUUUGGCUUCUUUGUCAAAGAUCAAGUAGCCAUAGCUAAAACCUGAACUCUUGGUCAAAGUUUGCCAUAGCAAAGUCCUGGCUGGACCGUGCAGCCGGACAGGACAGAAGGCCCUGGUUUGCUGAGAGUUGCCCUCUUCCCUUCAUCCACAGACUUACUCCAUCAUGCAGCCAUGUGAGGCUGCCGUGGCUUGCCUUUCACAUUUCCUGCAUUCUCUGGUGAUAGGGGAUUUGUUGACAUUUUUCUACAAACCCCGUUGCUAUUAUGAAUCAGAAACAGAUUUCAAGCUCCAGCACUCUCAGAGUUAAGCUGCAUUGAAAAGGAGGA